ACGGGUGAGUAAUGUCUGGGGAUCUGCCCGAUAGAGGGGGAUAACCACUGGAAACGGUGGCUAAUACCGCAUAACGUCGCAAGACCAAAGAGGGGGACCUUCGGGCCUCUCACUAUCGGAUGAACCCAGAUGGGAUUAGCUAGUAGGCGGGGUAAUGGCCCACCUAGGCGACGAUCCCUAGCUGGUCUGAGAGGAUGACCAGCCACACUGGAACUGAGACACGGUCCAGACUCCUACGGGAGGCAGCAGUGGGGAAUAUUGCACAAUGGGCGCAAGCCUGAUGCAGCCAUGCCGCGUGUAUGAAGAAGGCCUUCGGGUUGUAAAGUACUUUCAGCGGGGAGGAAGGCGAUAAGGUUAAUAACCUUGUCGAUUGACGUUACCCGCAGAAGAAGCACCGGCUAACUCCGUGCCAGCAGCCGCGGUAAUACGGAGGGUGCAAGCGUUAAUCGGAAUUACUGGGCGUAAAGCGCACGCAGGCGGUCUGUUAAGUCAGAUGUGAAAUCCCCGGGCUUAACCUGGGAACUGCAUUUGAAACUGGCAGGCUUGAGUCUCGUAGAGGGGGGUAGAAUUCCAGGUGUAGC
rnacentral:rRNA from 1 species